rnacentral:rRNA from 1 species
AUUUAUUGGGCGUAAAGCGUUUCGUAGGCUAUUGGAUAGUUGUUCUUCAAAGCCCGGGCUCAACCCAGGAAAGGGGGACAAUACUUCCAGAAUUGAAAGAUUUCGGGGCUACCGGAACUGUCGGUGUAGGAGUGAAAUCCGUUGAUAUCGACAGGAACACCAAGGGCGAAGGCAGGUAGCUAGGGAUUCUUUGACGCUGAGGAACGACAGCUAGGGGAGCGAAUGGGAUUAGAGACCCCAGUAGUCCUAGCCGUAAACUUUGCUCGCUAGGGGUGCGUCGCAAGAUGUGCCCCGCAAGCUAACGCGUUAAGCGAGCCGCCUGGGGAGUACGAGCGCAAGCUUAAAACUCAAAGGAAUUGACGGGAAUCUGCACAACCAGUGGAGCAUGUGGUUUAAUUCGAGACGAACCGAAGAACCUUACCCGGAUUUGACAUUCUACCGUUUUAGUUUUUUAGAAAUAAGAGACGAUCCGUGAAUUUCAUGGAUGGUAGAACAGGUGUUGCAUGGCCGUCGUCAGCUCGUGCCGUGGGGUGUUCCCUUCAGUGGGGUAACGAGCGCAACCCUCACCAUAUGUUAAAUAUUCAUAUGGGACUCCCCGAGUUUUUCUCGGGGGGAAGCGAGGACGACGUCAGGUCAGCAUGGCCCUUAUAUCCGGGGCGACACACAUGCUACAAUGGAGCCGACAAUGGGUUGCCAAGCCGCAAGGCGGAGCUAAUCCCAGUAAAACGGCUUCUCAGUGGGGAUUGGAGGCUGCAACUCGCCUCCAUGAACGCGGAAUUGGUAGUAAUCGCGGAUCAGCUAUGCCGCGGUGAAUACGUUCUCAGAUUUUGUACACACCGCCCGUCAAGUCAGUAAAGUUGGGGGCACCCGAACCUCGAUUGUAUCGGGGGAAGGUGACACCAGCGAUAAAGAUU